rnacentral:tRNA from 2 species
GGGUCCGUAGCUCAGGCGGUUAGAGCGCACGCCUGAUAAGCGUGAGGUCCCUGGUUCGACUCCAGGCGGGCCCACCA